GGCUUCAACACCCCCGCGGGCGGGACCUUUUCAAGGUAUGUGCGUUCGCUGGAGCC
rnacentral:sRNA from 1 species